GAGGGCAAUCAGGGACAGGGUGGCCACAGCUGCAGGUCAUUAAUGCCCCUGGCCAAGCAGGGCAGCCCUCAGCGCUCUCUGAGCGCAGCAUGGUUGGUGGGACAAGUGUUUAAAGGAUGUCACCUCGUGUCUCCCAUCCUCUCCAUCUCUGUCCUCAUUUCUUAGCUGCUCCUGGAGCUGUCAGAGGAGCCUGUGGCCUGCAGCCAGCUCUGCCCUCACAGAUGGGGAGCUGUGAUGUGUCAGGAGCUCACAGGAGUCCCGAGGUUCAUCGCCGCCCGCCUCUUGUGCAACCACCAGCUUUCAACAGCACAAAAUUUCAGUGGAAGGUCACCAAGAAGCCCUCAGUGCUCACCUCUAAUUGAACAAGACCUGUCCUGACCUCACUUAAGGGAAAGGGAACAUCCUGCAUUGGUGUGGGAGCUUUAUCUUCAUCCUCCUGCCCGUGGGUUUCUCUCCAUGCCUCUAUGCAGCCCACGGACCCAGCAUCUAAUUAUAUAUUAAAAAAAUAUCCUCUCUUCUUCUAAUGGAGAAAAUACACAAUAUACAUGUGCUGUAAGCAGAGUUUAAAGGAAUUUGGCACUCUGGAAUUGUAGAAGGUAUUGAAAGAGGCAUUGCCAAACUAAAACUCCAUGGUCUUUUAGCAACCCUGGAAAGGGAUGAGGGGGAAAAGCCCUGCUGAGGAAAAGGUGGCUUUUUCCCACCAAACUAUCCCUUAAGACAAAGCCCCCUUGGUCAGAGGGAGCAGGUCACCACGCUGGCUGCUCCACUCCCUGGAUUUGGCAGGGGCUGCUUUCCAAGAGCCCCGUGGUUCUCCAGGGCAGGCUGAGUGUCCACAGGGCACAGCCAAAACAGCCCAGGCACUGCCUACAGGUUAAUCACAUUUACUGCAGCUCUGUUGUUCCAAGAGUCUCAGACAAAGGCUAAAUUCAAGAAAACUUAAAAAGAAACAGAUCUUUGGAGCUGACUUAUUGUUAAUGCAAUUAGGGUGAGGGAGAGAAUCUAAUUACCAAGGACUCUCACUUCUUCCCCGUGCCCCAAGCUGGUUUAAAGAGGAAGCUCUCAGUGUAGUGACUUAAACUUUCUGCUUUACUUUACUUCUUAGCACGGCAGUUGUUGAAACAGCUUCAGUGUUUUCUCAGCUGCAUUUUUUGU